UACAGAGGGUGCGAGCGUUAAUCGGAAUUACUGGGCGUAAAGCGUGCGUAGACGGUUAUGUAAGUCAGAUGUGAAAGCCCCGGGCUCAACCUGGGAAUUGCAUUUGAGACUGCAUAGCUAGGGUGCGGAAGAGGGAAGCGGAAUUUCCGGUGUAGCGGUGAAAUGCGUAGAUAUCGGAAGGAACACCAAUUGCGAAGGCAGCUCGCUGGGACGUUACUGACGCUGAGACGCGAAAGCGUGGGGAGCAAACAGG
rnacentral:rRNA from 1 species